GCAGUUGUCUGAGCUUUGUGUAAAAGGGAAGGAAGAACAGACAGGCUGUACUCAGAAGGAGAAGCAGAGCGACAGUGUCCGUGCUGGAUGUGAAGAUGGGGCACACUUUGCUCUGUGUGCUGGGGUUAUUCUUGCUGAAUACACUCCUCUACGGACACGCUGAAGCAAAGAGACCAAAGGCUGAACUGAGAGCUGACAGGAGAACUAUUCCAGCAGGGGGCAGUGUGACCCUGAGCUGCUCUGUGAACCCGUCAUCUGGUUGGAAAUACUUCUGGUACAGAGGAGAGAAAACCUCUGAACCC